AUGAGAAACGGAUGCUCAGUAAAUCAUGGAGUGAGCGUGAGAAGGCCUAAGUCAAUGGAGGACUGGGAUACUGAUAAGGCUGGGUUUUUGUGUCAUCCGUUGACAGCUUGGUAUGAAACAGGAAGUGCCACUCUCAGCGUGCAGCCACAGGGUGGGUGUCCGGUUGGGUGGGGCUUCCUGGGACUUCACGUCUCACCUCCCUCCCUGAUUCCCCAGCAAGCCACGGAGGAAGAGUUCCAGUUCUUGCGCUGCCAGGGCUGCCGGGCAGAAGCUAAGUGCCCCAAGCUGCUGCCUUGUCUGCAUACGCUGUGCUCAGGAUGCCUGGAGGAGUCCGGCAUACAGUGCCCCGUCUGCCAGGCUCCCUGGCCCUCAGGUGCCGGCGCGCAGGCCCUGGACAACGUCUUCUUCGAGAGCCUGCAGCGGCGGCUGUCGGUGUACCAGCAGAUCGCACGCGAGCAGGCGUUUUGCACCCGCUGCAAAGAGCUGGCCCACUACUGGUGCUUCGAGUGUGAGCAGCUCAUCUGCGCCAAGUGCUUCGAGGCGCACCAGUGGUUCCUCAAGCACGAGGCCCGGCCGCUGGCGGAGCUCCGCAGCCAGUCGGUGCGGGAGUUUCUGGACGGCACCCGCAAGUCCAACAACAUCUUCUGCUCCAACCCCAACCACCGCAGCCCUAUGCUGACCAGCAUCUACUGCCGAGGCUGCUCCAAGCCCUUGUGCUGCUCGUGCGCUCUCCUGGAUAGGGACCACGGCGAGCUCAAGUGCGACAUCAGCAUGGAGAUCCAGCAGCGGCAGGAUGAGCUGGACACCAUGACCCAGGACCUGCAGGAGCAGGACCGCAGCUUCGGGGCAGCGCAGGCGCAGAUGCGCUCUGCCAUCAGCCAGCUGGGCCGUGUACGCGCCGACACUGAGGAGUUCAUCCGUGAGCGCGUGCGCGAGGUGGUAGCGCACGUGCUAGAGCAGGAGCGUGAGCUGCUGGAAGGCGUGGGUGCGCGGUACCAGCGCGACUAUGAAGAGAUAGCGGGCCAGCUGGGCCGGCUGGAUGCUGUACUGCAGCGGAUCCGUAUGGGCAGCGUGCUGGUGCAGAGGAUGAAACUAUACGCCUCGGAUCAGGAGGUGCUGGACAUGCAUGACUUCCUGCGCAAGGCACUCCACCAGCUGCGCCAAGAGGAGCCCCAGAGUCUGCGAGCCACUGUGCACACAGACAGCUUCAACGAAUUCAGGGUGCGCCUGCAGGGCCUCGUCUCUUGCAUCACCCAGGGUAGAGAUGCAGCUCUAUCCAGGAGAGCCAGCCCAGAAGCUGCCAGCACUCCCAGAGACACUUGUGGCCCUGACCCGCCAGAGGAGGUGCCGAGGGACCAGAUGCAAGCCGCGGGAUUGGCCGUGGUACAGCCGGUGCCAGGGGCACACCCUGUGCCAGUGUACGCCUUCUCCAUCCAAGACCCCUCCCGCAGAGAAGAGGGCACCCACACGCAGAAGAGGAAGGCCUGCCAGACCGAGUGCCCCCGGAAGGUCAUCAAGAUGGAGUCUGAGGAGGGGGAAGAGUCUAGGUUGGCUCAGAGCUCCCCUGAGCAGCCCAGGCCCAGCACCUCCAGGGCAGUCUCGCCACCCCACCUGGAUGGGCCCUCCAGCCCCAAGAGCCCCAUCAUAAGAGAUGAGCUCCCCUUGCCUGAAAGCAACCAUCAAACCGGCGACCCUGCAGAGACAGAGGAGCGCGUCGUGGUGAUCAGCAGCUCGGAAGACUCAGAUGCUGAAAACCCGGACUCCCGAGAGCUGGCCGACAACAGCAGCGAGUCCAGUGACCUCCAGCUGGAGGGCCCCAGCUCCCUCGGAGUCCUGGACGACGGCCCCUCCAACUCCCUGGUGGAAGACAAGCCCCUGGUUUUCUUUGACCUCAAGAUUGACAAUGAAACCCAGAAGAUUAGCCAGCUGGCAGCCGUGAACCAGGAAAGCCAGUUCCGCGCGCUCAUCCAGCCCGAAGCGCUCAACGUGUACUCCAAGGCUGUCUCCCUAGAGGUGGGACUGCAGCACUUCCUGUACUUCCUGGCGAGCAUGCACCAGCCCAUCCUGGCCUGCUAUAAGCUGUGGGGACCCAGUCUCCCCAGCUUCUUCCAGGCCCUGGAGGAGAUGAACAUGCUGGGGAAGUUCCAGAAGUCCAUCUCAGGCUUCCUGGCCACCCUGCCCCUCAUCCGGGAGUGCGUGCCGGGGGCCAGCAGCUUCAAACUCAAGAGCCUGGCCAAGACCUACCUGGCAAGAAACAUGAGCGAACGCAGCGCCCUCGCGGCCGUGCUGGCCAUGCGCGACCUGUGCCGACUCCUCGAGGUGUCCCCCGGCCCCCAGCUGGCCCCGCACAUCCACCCCUUCAGCAGCCUGCAGUGCUUCUCAUCCCUGCAGCCCCUGGUGCGGGCGGCCAUCCUGCCCCGGGCCGAGGCCCGCUUGCUGGCCCUGCACAAGGUGACCUUCAUAGAGCUGCUGACCGCACACCACCAUGACCCCCAGGGUGGCCUGAAGAGGUACAACCGCUUCCUGAGCCUCCAGACUCCCACGUCGUCCCAGCCUGCACUCGACCUGCAGUCUCUGGGCACCUACUUCGAAGGCCUGCUGGGGGAGCCGGCUUCGGCAGGGGCAGGAGGCGUCGCUGCCCCUCCGGCUGGCCACAGCUUGGCAGAAAGGGCUACACAGCAGACCUGA
rnacentral:lncRNA from 1 species